UACAGAGGUGGCAAGCGUUGUUCGGAAUUACUGGGCGUAAAGGGCGCGUAGGCGGCCUUCUAAGUCAGACGUGAAAUCCCCCGGCUUAACCUGGGAACUGCGUCUGAUACUGGGAGGCUUGAGUAUGGGAGAGGGAUGUAGAAUUCCAGGUGUAGCGGUGAAAUGCGUAGAUAUCUGGAGGAAUACCGGUGGCGAAGGCGGCAUCCUGGACCAUAACUGACGCUGAGUAGCGAAAGCGUGGGGAGCGAACAGG
rnacentral:rRNA from 1 species